AUUCAGAGAUUGCAAGAAGGAUCUCCAUAUGGUCUUUAUUGACCUAAAAAAAAGAGCUUAUGACAGAGUUUCUAGAGAGUCGACCUGGCAAUUACUAGAUAAGAUAAGUGUUUCAAAUAAAUAUGUAGGCAUAGUUAAACAAUGUAUAAUGGUGUGGUGACCAGUGUAAGAACUGUAGGGGCCAAGGUAGUGAAUUCCCAAUUACAAUUAGGGAACAUCAAGGAUCAGCUUUAAGCCUUUGUUUGCGCUUAUCAUGGUGAUGUAACCAGAGAUAUUCAAGAUGUCAGGUUCCUCGGUGUAUGCUUUUAGCUGAUGAUAUUGUUUUGGUGGAUGAGACAAAAGUAGAGAUUAACGCCAAGUUGGAAUUAUGAAGAUCAACCCUGGAAUCAAAAGGUUUUAAGAUAAGUAGAAUGAAAACGGAGUAUAUGGUGUGUAACUUUAGUUAUACUAGGGCGGAUAAUGAGGCAAUGAAAAUUGAUGGGAGGGAGAUUCCGCAAAGUAAUUAUUUUAGAUAUCUAGGCUCAAUCACAAAUAAAGAAGGUAAUAUAGAGGAUGAUGUUCCACAGAG